AAGGCAGCCGGAGCCCCAGAGGCUGGGAAACAGGCCCUCGGGGCAGGACAGGAAGAGAACCCAGGCCUCCUGAGCCCAGACUUUUUUUUUUUUUUUCAAUAUCCUGCUGGGCUACAAUUAGAUUCUUUCGGUACUAGAAGUGACUUAACAACAACCCUUAACAACAACCGUGGGUGAAGGUAUGCAGUUACGCCCUCAUUGAAAUGUUCAGGUUCCCCCACCCCCACCCACCCUCAGCUUAGUGGUUAGAACUCAGGCUCUCAAGUUAAAGCUGUCUGGGGUCUGCUCUUGGAGUCACAGUUUCUAAGCUGGGAAACCUUGAGAAAAGUUAACUUCGAUCUCUCUGUGCUCCAGUGUAUCUGCAAAAAUAAGGGGACUAUCCAUUUUGUAUACACUGCUUCUGAUGUGUAGGCUUUAUAAUAAACCCUGCAAGCAAGCCAUCAUCCUGUGUUUUCAGGUUGUGGAAACCAAAGCACUAAGAGUUUAGAUGACCUGGCCAAGACUGCACAGCUUGAGGCUGAGGGAUGGGGAGCGACGGGAACCUAAGCUCAGGCAGCCUAGCUCCAGCCCAAGCUCACAGGCUACCAGCCACACCUGCCUCAAAGCACGUUCAUACCUGAGCCUACCCCACUGUACCUGGCUGGUGGGAAGCCAACACAGCCCUGUGAGCACGCAGAAACAUCGAAGCACACCAGGUAAUAGACACUGUGGAAAUCCCAUUCUGUUAACUCACAACCCUUAAAAAUACAGGCUGGAAAACACCGUGAAAAAAAAUCAUACAGCUGCACAAUGAGAUAUUCUUCACUGUUUGCUUUUAUAGGACUUGAAGUGUCCGCCUAGGAAUGCCUGUACUUCUCAGACUCUCCUCACAUGUUUCUUAGUCGAAACCACCUUCAGGAUAUGAAAGCCUCCUCCCUCAAAGGUUCAGAUCUAUGCCUGAGGUCACCGGCAAGGUCCAGUCCUUUCUAUCGCAGGGAAAGCCUGGGUGGCCAGAGCAGACUCACUCGGCCAGUGCGCCAGGACCAUUGGCUUGGUGACCCUCCUCUCCAGGAGGCUGGCUGCCGUCCUCCCUUCGGGAUGAGGUGGGGUCCAUCCCCAGCCGGAUCCCUCCCACCUAAGGAUAGAGGAGCAUAUUAAAUGUCCCUAUGGGGAUGUAACCAGCAAAAUCCAGCGUCUGAAAGCAAAUUCACUCAGUUUCUACAGUAAUAUCACUCAGGAAGAAGAAGAAAAAAGAAGAAAGAAAGAAAGGAGAGAGGUGGAGGAGAAAACCAAUAAAUUUAAAAAAUAAAACUUAACCAACUGCAGUGAAUGGAUGAAACUUAUUGAGAUUCUGAAUCAAAGAACAAACUAUUGAAAAAAUAAUUUUUCAUGAGACAAUCUGGUGAAAUGUAAUACUAACAAAUGAUG